rnacentral:tRNA from 1 species
GAGGGUACAGCUCAGUGAAGUAGAGCACAUGCUUAGCAUGCACAAGGUCCUGGGCUCAACCCCCAGUGCCUCCA